rnacentral:rRNA from 1 species
GAUCCUGGCUCAGGAUGAACGCUAGCUACAGGCUUAACACAUGCAAGUCGAGGGGAAACGACAUCGAAAGCUUGCUUUUGAUGGGCGUCGACCGGCGCACGGGUGAGUAACGCGUAUCCAACCUGCCCACCACUUGGGGAUAACCUUGCGAAAGUAAGACUAAUACCCAAUGACGUCUUUAGAAGACAUCUGAAAGAGAUUAAAGAUUUAUCGGUGAUGGAUGGGGAGUGCGUCUGAUUAG